rnacentral:rRNA from 1 species
UACGUAGGGCGCAAGCGUUGUCCGGAAUUAUUGGGCGUAAAGAGCUCGUAGGCGGCUUGUCACGUCGGGUGUGAAAAGCCCGGGGGCUUAACCCCCGGGUCUGCAUUCGAUACGGGCUGGCUAGAGUGUGGUAGGGGGAGAUCGGAAUUCCUGGUGUAGCGGUGAAAUGCGCAGAUAUCAGGAGGAACACCGGUGGCGAAGGCGGAUCUCUGGGCCAUUACUGACGCUGAGGAGCGAAAGCGUGGGGAGCAAACAGG